GACGAAGGGGGCUAGCGUUGUUCGGAAUUACUGGGCGUAAAGAGCGCGUAGGCGGUUUGGUAAGUUGGAAGUGAAAGCCCGGGGCUUAACCUCGGAACUGCUUUCAAAACUGCCAAGCUAGAGUGUAGUAGGGGAUGAUGGAAUUCCUAGUGUAGAGGUGAAAUUCUUAGAGAUUAGGAGGAACACCGGUGGCGAAGGCGGUCAUCUGGGCUACAACUGACGCUGAGGCGCGAAAGCGUGGGGAGCAAACAGG
rnacentral:rRNA from 1 species